GCCCUUGUGGAUUAUAGUAGAUCAUCUUCAUCCGAUGACAAAUAAUGGAACCGUUUAUGAAGAUGUUGUAGGUUCGAAUCCUACCGAGGGCA